ensembl:lncRNA
CACUAACCAUGUGACUCCAUAACUGUCAGUUUAUCCCUUCACGACUUUCUCGAGGUAGGGGACUGACUGCCCUCCAGAUCUGGAUCCCUAGUGGCUGCCCAGCCCAGCGCCUGCCGCGGAGCCGUCUCCUGGUAAAUGGCGACAGAAUAAGCAGUAUGGCGCACACGUGGACUGCACGUUGUCAAUGCCGGGCACUGGCUUUAGACCUUCAGCAGGCAAGCCGCCCCCAAGAGCCAGGUAUUUCUGUUGUGCCCAUUUUAUAGAUGAGGAAAUGGAGGCAGUGGAAAGGUAAGUAACUUGCUGCGUUCACGUAAUGAUUGGCAGAGCCUGAAUUUGAAUCCAGGUAGAUCGGUUUCAGAACCCAUGCAAUCAAUCGCUGUGUGAGCCACUCAGUGAAAGAAUGAUUGAACGAAGGGAGGGAUGAAGGAAGAAAGGAAUGAACAGUUAAAUACAGGAGGGAGUAAAUGAAUGCCCGUGACCUGGCAUCGUGAGGCCAUGUCCAGCCUGCUGUGCAGACACCAAUCAACUGCUCUGUCAGUAGGAUGCCUUAGUCAUUUUCCACUUUGCACUAUUCUCAAAAUUGUAGUCAGUGCUUAAGAAGGAACCAAAAUCUUAGCUCCUAAAGAAAAGGAUAGUGUAAGAUAAUUAAAUAGAGCAUUUAGGAGUCCCACUACGGGAUCAGAGACAGAGGGGGGAUUUUAAGGGAGUUUGGGAGACUGUUGUAGGCCAAUGACUACUCAGGAAAAGAAUCCAGUAACCUAGCAACAGUUUACACUACUCUGAAGGAAGACCAGGUGCAUCUAAGCGCCAGGCACACUCAGGCCACAAGCCCUGAUUGGUAAAGCACAGGACAGUAGAUAUGGGGUCUGAAUCUUGUUACAUGAAGCCAGGGAGUUAAUGGUCCUUGAAAAGCAGCAUUUCUGCAUAUAGUUAAUACAGGAAUACAGGUAAAAGCGUGUAGGGCUGUAGAGCGUUAGAGCUGCAGGCUGCGCUGAGAGCCCUCAGUUUUGCAGAUGGGAAAACUGAAGCUCCGCGUGGUAAAGCAACUUGUGAAAGGUCACACAGCAAGUUAAUCGCAGAGUCGAAGUGGACCCGGCCACGUGGUUUCCCGUCUGCCUCUCUCUACUAAACCGCCUCUGUGCAUCUGCUUCCGGCUUGUCCGUCAAGAGGCACUUUGAGCAAAAGCGCUGCGGACAGGUUUAAUGAUUUCUCAAGAGCAGACACGACCCCAGACCUGCUUCUGCGUCCAUUUGAAAAGGUCAUGGGAACAAGGGAGGUGAGAAAUUCAGCGUGGAAGGCUUGCGAUUUCCUCCAGGCAGAGAAGUAACUGACACCAUCACUGACAACUCGCCACGUGCUGGGCGCGAUGUGCUUCCUUGUGUUAUCCCUCUUAAUCCCCUCAACAGAGAUAAUCACCCCCAGCUUACAAGCAAAUUGAGGCUCAGAGAGGGAAACAGAGCGACCGACUCCAAUUUUUCUGGAACCAUCCCUGUUUUACAACUGAAAAUCCCAUGUCACAGGAACCCCUCUGUCCCAGGCAAACUAGAAUGUUUGGUCACCUGUGGGGAAAAGGGCGUCACAGUGAGAACCAGCGGCUGGAAGUCAGACACGCCGGGUGCUGUCUCUCGCUACCCUCUCGGUCCGCAUCACCUCCACCCAACAGAAGAGGAUGCUGAGGCUCAGAAGCUGUGACAUCCACUCACACAGCACGGCAGUGAUGCUGCAUGCCAGCAAACCCCAGCUCUCCCUGCCCCCGCCUUGCUGCUCUUCCCUGCACAGGGCUGUAAAAUAAUGACACAAAGGCGGACUCUGUCCCGGGAGCGGGUCUGUGUGGUCCUGUCCCCACACCACACCUCCUCCGCCCCCUCCUCUCCCUGGCUGACUCCUCGCCGUCCUUGGACACCAGCUUGAGGGCCCUCGCCUGCAGGCAGUCUGCCUGAUCUCCAGCCUGUUUCAGAAGCCCCGGGGCCUGUGCUUGGGCAACGAGGGUUCUUACGCUUUAGGUUGUAGCAGGCCCUUGUCAGUCUCCCCCUGCACUAGGGCACCCAGGGGCCAAGAACUGAUGGCCCCCCCGCCAGAAAAAAAUAAACAUAUUUAGUACAUUGCAA